GAUGAACGCUGGCGGCGUGCCUAAUACAUGCAAGUCGAGCGAACAGAUGAGGAGCUUGCUCCUCUGACGUUAGCGGCGGAAGGGUGAGUAACACGUGGAUAACCUACCUAUAAGACUGGGAUCACUUCGGGAAACCGGAGCUAGUACCGGAUAAUAUAUUGAACCGCAUGGUUCAAGCGUGAAAGACGGGUUUGCUGUGACUUAUAGAUUGAUCCGCGCCGCAUUAGCUAGUUGGUAAGGUCACGGCUUACGAAGGCAACGAUGAGUAGCCGACCUGAGAGGGUGACCGGCCACACUGGAACUGAGACACGGUCCAGACUCCUACGGGAGGCAGCAGUAGGGACUCUUCCGCAAUGGGCGAAAGCCUGACGGAGCAACGCCGCGUGAGUGAUGAAGGUCUUCGGAUCGUAAAACUCUGUUAUUAGGGAAGAACAAAUGUGUAAGUAACUAUGCACGUCUUGACGGUACCUAAUCAGAAAGCCACGGCUAACUACGUG
rnacentral:rRNA from 1 species